ACUAUGGCCGAAAAAAUUCUUUCUAAGAAAAGAAAAUCCAGCAAUAAUGAAAACUUACAGACUCUUCAGCAAAAGGGAAUUGAAGAAAUAAAAGUCUUUUAAGCAGCUAUAAGCAAUGAAAUAACAGAAAUACGCAAUGACAAUAAGCAUUUGAGAGAUGAAAUUGCCCUACUUAAAGAUACUUUUUGUACACAAAUGGACGGAGUGUUAAGAGUAUUGGCAGAGCAAAAUACCUCACUGUAUCAACUUUCAAAAAAUUUGUACGCGAAACCUUUGUAUAUUGGUAGCUUCCCCAUCAAGACGGAGGAGGAGCUAGAAAAACUGGAAGGAAUCAUAACUGAUGAAAAAAAAUGAAAUGGCUGCAUCAGUACAAGGUCUUAUAAAAAAUGGAGGAUUUGAAAAAAAUAUGGACUGCAUUUUUUCGACGGAAUUUAUUUUAGAUACUAAUUUAGACGGAAAGCAGGGGAAAAAAAGGCUUCUAAACUAUACGAAAAUUAUGGGAGUUUUAUAUGGGGCAGUUGAGAAGGACGGAAUAAAUGAAAAAGCCUUUCUUCACGCUUUAAGGACAGGUCUUAGACGCGUCAAAAAUCGACAUUUUAAAAAUAUUUGUGUUAACAAAAAAGCUCUGUCAGAACAAAAUGAAUAGUUUUACUUCCCUAAUUACGUAAUUUUUUAU
rnacentral:misc_RNA from 1 species